CAACUUUCAGCAAUGGAUCUCUUGGCUCUCGCAUCGAUGAAGAACGCAGCGAAAUGCGAUAAGUAAUGUGAAUUGCAGAAUUCAGUGAAUCAUCGAAUCUUUGAACGCACCUUGCGCUCCUUGGUAUUCUGAGGAGCAUGCCUGUUUGAGUGUCAUUAA
rnacentral:rRNA from 2 species